rnacentral:rRNA from 1 species
UGAGGGAAUAUUGGGGCAAUGGGCGGAAGCCUGACCCAGCAACGCCGCGUGAAGGAAGACGGUUUUCGGAUUGUAAACUUCUUUUAAGAGGGACGAUAAUGACGGUACCUCUUGAAUAAGCCACGGCUAACUACGUGCCAGCAGCCGCGGUAAUACGUAGGUGGCAAGCGUUGUCCGGAUUUACUGGGUGUAAAGGGUGCGUAGGCUGUUUGUCAAGUCAGAGGUGAAAGGCCGCAGCUCAACUGUGGAAUUGCCUUUGAUACUGGCAGGCUUGAAUACUGUUGCCGUGGGAGGAAUGAGUAGUGUAGCGGUGAAAUGCAUAGAUAUUACUCAGAACACCGAUUGCGAAGGCAUCUCACGAAGCAGACAUUGACGCUGAGGCACGAAAGCGUGGGGAUCAAACAGGAUUAGAUACCCUGGUAGU